rnacentral:rRNA from 1 species
CCUACGGGAGGCAGCAGUGGGGAAUAUUGCACAAUGGGCGCAAGCCUGAUGCAGCCAUGCCGCGUGUGUGAAGAAGGCCUUCGGGUUGUAAAGCACUUUCAGCGGGGAGGAAGGCGGUGAGGUUAAUAACCUCAUCGAUUGACGUUACCCGCAGAAGAAGCACCGGCUAACUCCGUGCCAGCAGCCGCGGUAAUACGGAGGGUGCAAGCGUUAAUCGGAAUUACUGGGCGUAAAGCGCACGCAGGCGGUCUGUCAAGUCGGAUGUGAAAUCCCCGGGCUCAACCUGGGAACUGCAUUCGAAACUGGCAGGCUAGAGUCUUGUAGAGGGGGGUAGAAUUCCAGGUGUAGCGGUGAAAUGCGUAGAGAUCUGGAGGAAUACCGGUGGCGAAGGCGGCUCCCUGGACAAAGACUGACGCUCAGGUGCGAAAGCGUGGGGAGCAAACAGGAUUAGAUACCCGUGUAGUC